rnacentral:lncRNA from 1 species
CUCAACAUACACGGCUCAAAUUGGCAAUCUAAUGAUAUCAUUUUUUCUUUGGGAAACAUGGUUAUUUGGGCCAUAGUGGUAAACCUAAUGCCUCUAUCAUUUCCAAAUUCAUGCAAUCAAUGACAAACAUUUCGAAAGAUCGUUACGCAAGUUCUAGAGAUGUAUCUCACAUAAGUUCAUCACACACAUAAAAAAAUAGGAGUGUAUGAAAAAUGCACACACUUUCAAUAGGCUCAAAAACUCACAUAGGAUGUAUAUGGUCACUAAAUUCACAUAUGAAGCUUUAAGUCAUACUUUAGUUUCACAUUAACAAGGCUAUGUGCAUUUGGUUUUUCAAAGAUGAUCAAACAUGUACAAAACUAACAAGAGAAUUAGGAAUUUCACAAAACACAUGUUAACUAAGUUCUUGAUGAUCAUGGUUCAAAUUUGAUCCAAUUAUAUCAUUGGGUCGGGAAACUAACAAAAAAAAUCUAAUUCAAAACAAUAAGGGAAACAAGACAAUAUUUUUGGAUUUUUAAAUUUUCCGAUUUUUUUUUUAUUUUUUAUUUUUAAAGAAAACAAAAAGCAACAACACAGAAACAAAUGAAAUUCUAGAGAUUUCUACCCCCACACUUAAACUUGACAUUGUCCCCAAUGUCAGAAAACAUUAUAACGCAAAUAAAAUAAAAUAAAUAAAUAAUAAGAAACAAAAUAAAGCAAUUGGACUGAAAACUUCCCUAAUUUGCAGUAAAAUCAAGCGAUGACCCCCAAGAUAAAAUUCUGCAAUCAACUUCAAGGGUGGAAAUAACCAAAAGUUCCUGCAAAGAAAAGAAAUAAUUCAGUUAAGUAACGCAAGAAAAUAAAAUAAUAAUAAAAUAAAUAAAAAAAAAUUGCAAACGAAAAAUUGAAAAUCACGAUAAAAGACAAUGAAUAGAACUAAUAAGUAAUCAUUGGUCGUGCUUGUUGACUUUCCACAGCUUUCCUCUUGAACAGGGUGACACUUAGCUUUUUACUUGCAAGUGAUGAUUUGAUGAUAUUGUACGACGAAGCUUUGCUCUUUGGUGAUGUUGCAGUUCCUUAUUUGUUCUCCAAGCAGAUGUGGCAGCUUUUCUAGUUCUUCAGCUCGGACUCCUUCCGCUGGGAUGAUUGUACGAGCUGCAUUCUUCUCUACUUGUUUCUUCUGUACGUUGUCUCCACAUGCUGUUGGUAUCAUUUUCGCUUGCCUUAUCUAUUCUUCAGGUAGAUGUGG